AGAUGGCGCCAUACUCACCCGACUGGAGUGUGUGUGUAGACCGUCAUCAAGCACACCUGAACCUGAUCAACUCAUCAGCGGCGUGUACUAAAGGAGGCUUCUGCCAGUCCUUCAGCGCCCGAGUGUUUGCCAGUAACGGUUUUUCCCCGGAGAAGCCCUUACUGAUCCUGUCUGCUUCUCUGAUCGAGAUCCCCCUCGUGACGCCGUGGAUCCUACCCACUGGUUGCCCGAGUUCCCAGACUCACCUCCUCAGUCUGAUUACAAGUCCCCCCCCCCCGCCCGGAUUCCACGACUGGCAAUUGCACCGCUCCUUUGUCCCCGCCAAGCCCGAGCCUACCUGUCCGCCCUCCGACCACCUGGACCACUUAAGGGACAAAGACUCCGAACCCUCCAGUAAACUUUCCUAGACCUCGUGCCAUCGAACCACAAGUAAGCUCCGUUUACUCUGUGACUUUCCUGUUUCCGACAACCCUGAACUCACCAUUCUGCUCUGCCUCUUUAGAGAGCCGAUUGCUCCGUGAACCCGUUUCCUCCCUGGACCAGACCAGAGCUUCCACAACCUUACUUGCCAUUUAACAAUAAACCAAUUACCGUACAUACCUCUCCUGUAUUGUGUUCUGCAUGUGGGUCUGAAAAUAGUAAAUCCAUCAUGACAAAGGAUUAGAUCAUGCACUCUAUAUUGUAAUUCAGUUCACGAGGAUUUUAAUUGUUAGGGUUAAUGCCUCAUAUUCAGGAUGUUGCUCCUUUUAUGCCUGCAACCAAGAGAAGGUUUUAUGUUCUUACAACUAAGGUCAGUGUUGAAAUAUAAAUAUUCCAUUGAACUCGUUUUGUUUUCCGUGUAUUUAACUAUAUUGCUCUUAUCGUUGAUACUGGAAGCAAUCUGUUGGGAAUAACACUUCAGAUUAAAUAUUACUGUUACCUUGGAUAAACUAGACCACAUACAUUAAUCACAUCUAAUUCAUAUUGCCAUGUUUUUAUUGCUUAGUUUAUGUGCAACUUAGAAAAAAUUAUUUUGAGUUGCCAUACAUAAUUCCAUAAUGUAGCUUAUUUUAUUAUUUUGCUGCAAAUGGUUCUGUUAGGCAAUUGGGUUGCAUACUUUUCAAGUAAGAAAAUUGUAAUUUGCCAGUAGACUUAGGCUAUAACCUAUGAUUAUCAUCCUUGUAUUCCGAGAACUGAUCAAAUAUUACAUGAUGCAGAUACAAUCAAUGUUAAGGCUUAAGUUACUCUGUCCUACUUUGGUUCUGACAUUUGCUGAUGAAUUUCUGUUUAACGUGAGUCAGCAUUAACCUGUAAUGCAACAUGCCUUUUAGGUUAACAUUAUACCUGUAUAGUUUUCAAUUCUAUGACUAAAAUACUUCCUCAACAUACUUCCAAUUUCAGGCUAUAAUAUCUGGCCAAUAACCAUAUUAGAUAUUUCAGAUUUUGAUUUCAGGCUAAAUAAGGAUUUUGUUGUUAUGAAGCUUUUACUUUUAUCUGCCAUGGAUUCAUUUCCUAUUAUUUGGACCCAAUUUUUAUGUAGAGCUUAUUGAUUUAAAUUAGAAAUUGGUAUUUACAUAGUUUUAUAUUAUCUAAUAAUAUUGCAUCUUUGUUUCACAUUUGACUCGUUUAUGUGUGCUCUGCUCCUAUCAGUUGUCAUAGGCAGAGUUAUGCCUAUGACAACAAAGCUUUAGUUUCAUUUUUACUCCUGAAAAUGUUAAUCAAAUUUAUUAAGGAAUUGCUAAAUUUGUUCCUCUUUUAAAAUGUUUCGUUUUCCCAGUUAGAAGAUGUUAACCCUUCUUGUAUACUUUAAAUGAUUCCACGAGUUGAUCUUAUGUACCUUCCAACAUAUUUGUCAACAUCACUUAUUAUAGCUAUUUCCUACGCAUAGUGCUAAUUUAUUUACUUAUUUAUGUUAAUUUGCUUGUAUUCCUUCUUAAAGCAAUGUAUUUCCUAAGUGCUACUUGGUUCUAUAGUGCUUCAAAAUUGCAGAAUAAUUUUAGUUUAGUUUUAAUAAUUAAAUUGGAAAUUAAAUUUGCUGGUUCUAAUUUGAAAGAUCAGUUAAUACAACCCUUAAUUUAUUGAUUUAUUUUCCUAAGAAAGUCUUAUUCUGAAGAAGUGAGAAGUUUCCUAAUAUAUAUAGUUCUUAGAUUUAGGUUAGUAUUAAAUGUACACUGUAUUUCAGGAAUGACCCCAAGAUGUUGAUGUGGCCCAAGGGCAUACUUUCAGUAGAGAGUUUUACUGAGCUUUGUAUUGAGCUUUAACAUCCAAUUGUCAGGAGAGAUCUGUUCCAGUUACCUGAAAUUCUGAUUGCUUAAAUCAAAAUGUAACUUUAGCCAUAUUUUUCAUUGUUUGGUUUAUCAUACCAUCUCUCCAGGUCUCACUCCUCCUGUUCUGGAGAUAUUUAGGUGUCUUCCAUCAGAAGAAGGCGGCUAGAAUGGGACAGAUUUUCAGCUUCUGGAAAAGACAAAACUGAAAGCAGAAACAAUUUUGAUUAAGCAAAGCAUGCAAUCAAAACUUGGUCCUGUUUUUACUCUUUUAUUCUAAGGCUGAGUCUGUUUACCUGGUGAGAAUCGCAAUUUGAAAUUAAACAUCUCGUCUUCCAUAAUUUGCUUUCCUGGCAGUAUAUUUUGUUGUUUGGCAGCUACAAACAAGGUUCAGAUUGAUGUCAGAGAUAAACUUAUUUUUAUCGACAGUUUUAGUUACAGAAACAAUUUGAUAACCAACCUAACAAAACCAUGAUGUUUUGGCAUUAAUAUAAAAUUUCCAAAUCCUUACAUAAUAUUAAAUAUAGAUACCGAGAUCGAAAUUUUAAGUAAAGCAAGGUGCAUAUUUGUCUGUUGUUGAAAGUGUGCAAAUAAACAACCUAUUGUAGAGUUCUUCUAUUUGAAUUGUCUGAACCCGUUUUUUUUUUAAGGGAACGAUAUCUGUCUGUCAGAAGUUUUGGCAGCUCAAUCUUUGCGCAAAGAUAGAUACUCAUCUCUGGCCCGCAGAAAAGAACUUCAUCUCACUUUUAGCACUUCAGACCGCAGCAGACAGGAACCGUUCUGUAUUUAACAAGCAAAAGAGAUAAAAACCUUACCUCUUUUCUGAGUUGUUUUUUUUUUGUGGGCCCAGACGGCUCUCUGUCCGCCUUGGUCUGGAGCGUGACCUUUCUUUUCCUCUUGACCUUUUUUGUUGUUCAAAUCAAAUGUCGGGGUCACCAUUUGUAGGAUUGAAAAAGGUCUCAACUCUUAAUUAUAUUUAUAGAUAGGAAGUAAUACUCAGAGAUGAGUCCGUUUACUGCAGGUCACGGCGGGUGGAGAUUUAUUACACUGUUCCGCAGAUCAUCUUACAGUACAAA